AAUGGACGAAAGUCUGAACCAGCCAUGCCGCGUGAAGGAUGAAGGCCUACGGGUUGUAAACUUCUUUUGUAUAGGAAGAACCCCUCUACGUGUAGAGGGUUGACGGUACUAUUCGAAUAAGCACCGGCUAACUCCGUGCCAGCAGCCGCGGUAAUACGGAGGGUGCGAGCGUUAUCCGGAAUUAUUGGGUUUAAAGGGUGCGUAGGCGGAAAUUUAAGUCAGUGGUGAAAGCCUGCAGCUUAACUGUAGAAUUGCCAUUGAUACUGGAUUUCCUGAAUCUAAUAGAAGUAGGCGGAAUAUGACAUGUAGCGGUGAAAUGCUUAGAUAUGUCAUAGAACACCGAUAGCGAAGGCAGCUUACUAUGUUAGUAUUGACGCUAAUGCACGAAAGCGUGGGGAGCGAACAGGAUU
rnacentral:rRNA from 1 species